AGCCAGACUCCUACGGGAGGCAGCAGUGGGGAAUAUUGCACAAUGGGGGGAACCCUGAUGCAGCGACGCCGCGUGGGUGAAGGAGCACCUCGGUGCGUAAAGCCCUAUCGGCAGGGAAGAAAAGCGAACAGGUUCGCCUGGACGGUACCUGACUAAGAAGCCCCGGCUAACUACGUGCCAGCAGCCGCGGUAAUACGUAGGGGGCGAGCGUUAUCCGGAUUCACUGGGUGUAAAGGGAGCGUAGACGGCCAUGCAAGCCAGGGGUGGAAGCCCGGGGCCCAACCCCGGGACUGCCCUUGGAACUGCAUGGCUGGAGUGCGGGAGGGGCAGGCGGAAUUCCUGGUGUAGCGGUGAAAUGCGUAGAUAUCAGGAGGAACACCGGCGGCGAAGGCGGCCUGCUGGACCGCGACUGACGUUGAGGCUCGAAAGCGUGGGGAGCGAACAGGAUUAGAUACCCCAGUACA
rnacentral:rRNA from 1 species